CAAAUACCACUUCCUGUACCCUUCCCCAAAGUUGGUGCAUUUGUGUGGGUAUUUAAAAGUUCUGCAGGUGCAGGCAUCAGCAAACUGAGGAGCACAAGAUAUUUGAGUGCAAGUUUUUGAAGACAUCAGGAACCAGAAAUACGAUGGAGAUCUCAGUCCAUUUCACAUUGCUGUUGUUUUGGUUGACACAAGAUUUUGUGAGCUGUGUUAAUAUGAAGACUCCCACUGAAUUCUUGGCAGUCGUGCUGGGAGACACUCUCACAUUAAACUGCACCUACAACUGCUCCACUGGAUUUGUUCGAGGUUGCUGGAGCGUAGAAUCUGAUAAUUCCGGCUGUCUUGGGACAUUAAGCACGAGCAGGUUUUGCACACUAUCACUGCUCCUGUCAAAUGUGUCCGCUGAAGACCUCAAUAAGAGCUACACUUGCUACACGCAAGACACGGAAGACCCUCAACUUCCACAAAAAAACGAGCGUGUUGUUUUACUGCAACUGGAAGUUCAAACAAGUGCCCCACACUGGACAGUUACCCCAAAGACAGACAGUAAAAAUGCGUCCCUACCUGCUGAGCCUAACGAUUCAAAUGCAGGUGAGUUAGCACACGUUAUUUAACAUAGAUAAUGUCUGACUAGUUUUGUCUCUUGAAUAAUUAUGUGCAGAAGUAAAAGCUGUCUUUAAACCAAAUACAGCCCAGUUUAACACAGUUUUUUUCUCUCCAAUGUAAACAGGAGAGUUCACAGGGAUUAAGGUUUUGGUAACAGUUACCGUUGCUGUUGCCAUAAUUUUGGCAGCAUUGGCCGCCUACCUGUUUGUAAACCAGAUCAGACAGAGCUGGAAUGAUAAAGGGGAGCCUAUUGUUUCCAGGUCAGGCUCAACACUACCACUUCACACUGUUUCCUCACCAGUGACGGGGUCAAUGUCCACACAAAAUGAAAGAGUGACUUUGAGAAUUGCAACACCAGACGAUGACAGCGACACUGAAGUUCCAUAUGCUGACAUAAUGAUCACUGUGCGAGGCGUCAGUACGCCAGAGCUCACUCAGGUUGGCUACCUGACUUCUGGAGAUCAGAAAGAGUGGUGGAGAGGGGAACCAGCGCCUCACCUGCAGGCCUCGCGAUCAGCUGACCGGCUGCACGUGCUCCUGCCCAGAGAGGUCAGCCGCCAGAUGAGCUCCAGCUCCGAGUAU